rnacentral:rRNA from 1 species
AUUGAACGCUGGCGGCAGGUCUAACACAUGCAAGUCGAACGGUAGCACAGAGAGCUUGCUCUUGGGUGACGAGUGGCGGACGGGUGAGUAAUGUCUGGGAAACUGCCCGAUGGAGGGGGAUAACUACUGGAAACGGUAGCUAAUACCGCAUAACGUCUUCGGACCAAAGUGGGGGACCUUCGGGCCUCACACCAUCGGAUGUGCCCAGAUGGGAUUAGCUAGUAGGUGGGGUAAAGGCUCACCUAGGCGACGAUCCCUAGCUGGUCUGAGAGGAUGACCAGACACACUGGACCUGAGACACGGUCCAGACUCCUACGGGAGGCAGCAGUGGGGAAUAUUGCACAAUGGGCGCAAGCCUGAUGCAGCCAUGCCGCGUGUAUGAAGAAGGCCUUCGGGUUGUAAAGUACUUUCAGCGGGGAGGAAGGCGUUAAGGUUAAUAACCUUGGCGAUUGACGUUACCCGCAGAAGAAGCACCGGCUAACUCUGUGCCAGCCGCCGCUGUAA